CUGGCGGCAGGCCUAACACAUGCAAGUCGAGCGGUAGCACAGAGAGCUUGCUCUCGGGUGACGAGCGGCGGACGGGUGAGUAAUGUCUGGGAAACUGCCUGAUGGAGGGGGAUAACUACUGGAAACGGUAGCUAAUACCGCAUAAUGUCGCAAGACCAAAGUGGGGGACCUUCGGGCCUCAUGCCAUCAGAUGUGCCCAGAUGGGAUUAGCUAGUAGGUGGGGUAACGGCUCACCUAGGCGACGAUCCCUAGCUGGUCUGAGAGGAUGACCAGCCACACUGGAACUGAGACACGGUCCAGACUCCUACGGGAGGCAGCAGUGGGGAAUAUUGCACAAUGGGCGCAAGCCUGAUGCAGCCAUGCCGCGUGUGUGAAGAAGGCCUUCGGGUUGUAAAGCACUUUCAGCGGGGAGGAAGGCGGUGAGGUUAAUAACCUCACCGAUUGACGUUACCCGCAGAAGAAGCACCGGCUAACUCCGUGCCAGCAGCCGCGGUAAUACGGAGGGUGCAAGCGUUAAUCGGAAUUACUGGGCGUAAAGCGCACGCAGGCGGUCUGUCAAGUCGGAUGUGAAAUCCCCGGGCUCAACCUGGGAACUGCAUUCGAAACUGGCAGGCUAGAGUCUUGUAGAGGGGGGUAGAAUUCCAGGUGUAGCGGUGGAAAUGCGUAGAGAAUCUGGAGGAAUACCGGUGGCGAAGGUGCCCCCCUGGACAAAGACUGACGCUCAGGUGCGAAAGCGUGGGGAGCAAACAGGAUUAGAUACCCUGGUAGUCCACGCCGUAAACGAUGUCGAUUUGGAGGUUGUGCCCUUGAGGCGUGGCUUCCGGAGCUAACGCGUUAAAUCGACCGCCUGGGGAGUACGGCCGCAAGGUUAAAACUCAAAUGAAUUGACGGGGGCCCGCACAAGCGGUGGAGCAUGUGGUUUAAUUCGAUGCAACGCGAAGAACCUUACCUGGUCUUGACAUCCACAGAACUUUCCAGAGAUGGAUUGGUGCCUUCGGGAACUGUGAGACAGGUGCUGCAUGGCUGUCGUCAGCUCGUGUUGUGAAAUGUUGGGUUAAGUCCCGCAACGAGCGCAACCCUUAUCCUUUGUUGCCAGCGGUCCGGCCGGGAACUCAAAGGAGACUGCCAGUGAUAAACUGGAGGAAGGUGGGGAUGACGUCAAGUCAUCAUGGCCCUUACGACCAGGGCUACACACGUGCUACAAUGGCAUAUACAAAGAGAAGCGACCUCGCGAGAGCAAGCGGACCUCAUAAAGUAUGUCGUAGUCCGGAUUGGAGUCUGCAACUCGACUCCAUGAAGUCGGAAUCGCUAGUAAUCGUAGAUCAGAAUGCUACGGUGAAUACGUUCCCGGGCCUUGUACACACCGCCCGUCACACCAUGGGAGUGGGUUGCAAAAGAAGUAGGUAGCUUAACCUUCGGGAGGGCGCUUACCACUUUGUGAUUCAUGACUGGGGUGAA
rnacentral:rRNA from 1 species